UUUCUAACGAGACGCUAAUACCGCAUGACACCGGUUGUAGGCAUCUAUGACCGGUCAAAGGUGGCCUCUGUUUCAAGCUGUCGCUUGAGGAUGGCCCCGCGUCCGAUUAGCUAGAUGGUGGGGUAACGGCCUACCAUGGCGACGAUCGGUAGCCGGCCUGAGAGGGUGUCCGGCCACACUGGGACUGAUAUACGGCCCAGACUCCUACGGGAGGCAGCAGUCGAGAGGCUUCCGCAAUGGGGGAAACCCUGACGGAGCGACGCCGCGUGGGUGAGGAAGGUCUUCGGAUCGUAAAACCCUGUCAGGAGGGACGAAAACCGGAUUGGCUAAUACCCUUUCCGCUUGACGGUACCUCCAGAGGAAGCUCCGGCUAACUCCGUGCCAGCAGCCGCGGUAACACGGAGGGAGCAAACGUUGUUCGGAAUUACUGGGCGUAAAGGGCGUGUAGGCUAUUCUCUAAGUCGGGGGUGAAAUCCAAUGGCUUAACCAUUGGCCUGCCUUCGAAACUGGGGAACUUGAGGCCGUGAGAGGAAAGCGGAAUUCCUGGUGUAUCGGUGAAAUGAGUUGAUAUCAGGAGGAACACCAGUGGCGAAGGCGGCUUUCUGGCGCGGUUCUGACGCUGAGGCGCGAAAGCAUGGGGAGCAAACGGGAUUAGAUACCCCGGUAGUCCAUGCUGUAAACGAUGAGAACUAGGUGUCGGGGGUAUCGACCCCCUCGGCGCCGAAGCUAACGCAUUAAGUUCUCCGCCUGGGGAGUACAGUCGCAAGGCUGAAACUCAAAGGAAUUGACGGGGGCUCGCACAAGCGGUGGAGCAUGUGGUUUAAUUCGAUGCAACGCGAAGAACCUUACCUGGGCUUGACAUAUUCUUGACUGUCGUGGAAACACGGCUUCCUCGAAAGAGGCAGGUUUACAGGUGCUGCAUGGCUGUCGUCAGCUCGUGUCGUGAGAUGUUGGGUUAAGUCCCGCAACGAGCGCAACCCUUAUCCUUAGUUGCCAGCGGAUUAUGCCGGGCACUCUAGGGAGACUGCCUGUGUUAAGCAGGAGGAAGGCGGGGAUGACGUCAAGUCAUCAUGGCCCCUUACGCCCAGGGCUACGCACGUGCUACAAUGGCCGGUACAAUGGGUUGCAAUGCCGUGAGGUGGAGCUAAUCCCAAAAGCCGGUCUCAGUUCGGAUUGGAGUCUGCAACUCGACUUCAU
rnacentral:rRNA from 1 species